rnacentral:misc_RNA from 1 species
GAUGAAGAACGUAGCGAAGUGCGAUAUGUAGUGUGAAUUGCAGAAUUCCGUGAAUCAUCGAAUCUUUGAACGCAAAUUGCACUCUCCGGUUUUCCGGGAGAGUAUGCCUGUUUGAGGGUCAGCCUAAAAUACAUCGACAUUGUUGCUGGUUGCUGUUGCUUCAUGGUGACUUUUGUCGGAGAUUGGGUCAUCUUAAAACCUCUCUUUUUGGUUUAAGCGACUUUAAAUUUUUCUUUACGAUUCCGUGAACGUUUCUAAGAUUUUUAUUUUCUUAUACGUUUAAGGUUAUCGAUCAAUCAUAUUUAUAUAUUAGACGUGACCGUCGCAUCGGAUCGCGUCCAUAAUAAGACUUUCGUUAACUGACCUCAGACAGGUAAGAGUACCCGCUGAACUUAAGCAUAUCAAUAAGCGGAGGA